GACAGAGGUGCCAAGCGUUAGGCGGAAUCACUGGGCUUAAAGCGUGUGUAGGCGGAUGCCUAAGUACCUUGUGAAAUCCCACGGCUCAACCGUGGAACUGCUGGGUAUACUGGGUGUCUUGGGUCAGCUAGGGGUUGCCGGAACAAAUGGUGGAGCGGUGAAAUGCGUAGAUAUCAUAAGGAAGACCAGUGGCGAAGGCGGGUCUCUGGACAGUUCCUGACGCUGAGGCACGAAGGCCAGGGGAGCAAACGGG
rnacentral:rRNA from 1 species